CUGGAUGUUUCAUUUCUGCUUUUCCAUGGAGGAAAAUUGCUUUGAAAGGCUGAAUUGUACUCGUGUUUACUUCUGGAUUUAGUAUAAUUACACUGUUUAAAAAAAUGAAAUAAUAAAAAAUAAACUCCUCCUCCAACUACAAAAUUUUCUAGAAACAGCGCUGCUUUUCCCUGAGGUGUGACUCCAAUUACACAACCUCCCAAACCAGGACACAUGAUCUCCUCCACCCCACCUCUGUCCCAAGCCGACCGGAAGCCUCACCUGGCUCCACCCUCACCAUCGGAACACUGUGUGAGAAACGAGGAAGGGUGUGGGCUGUUCCUGUGGAGACGUUCCUCAGAAGGGCGUGGGCUGCUACCUGGCUGGGCCUCAGUCUCCAUGGGACUUCGGUCUGGA